AGACCCGAAACCCGGUGAUCUAGCCAUGGGCAGGUUGAAGGUUGGGUAACACUAACUGGAGGACCGAACCGACUAAUGUUGAAAAAUUAGCGGAUGACCUGUGGCUGGGGGUGAAAGGCCAAUCAAACCGGGAGAUAGCUGGUUCUCCCCGAAAGCUAUUUAGGUAGCGCCUCGUGAAUUCAUCUCCGGGGGUAGAGCACUGUUUCGGCUAGGGGGCCAUCCCGGCUUACCAACCCGAUGCAAACUGCGAAUACCGGAGAAUGUUAUCACGGGAGACACACGGCGGGUGCUAACGUCCGUCGUGAAGAGGGAAACAACCCAGACCGCCAGCUAAGGUCCCAAAGUCAUGGUUAAGUGGGAAACGAUGUGGGAAGGCCCAGACAGCCAGGAUGUUGGCUUAGAAGCAGCCAUCAUUUAAAGAAAGCGUAAUAGCUCACUGGUCGAGUCGGCCUGCGCGGAAGAUGUAACGGGGCUAAACCAUGCACCGAAGCUGCGGCAGCGAACGUAUCACUUAAAGCGAU
rnacentral:rRNA from 1 species